rnacentral:rRNA from 1 species
UACGAGUGCCCCAAGCGUUAUCCGGAAUUAUUGGGCGUAAAGGGUGUGUAGGUGGUUUUGUUAGUCUUCUGUUAAAGCUCCCGGCUUAACCGGGAAAGUGCAGAGGAAACGGCAAGACUAGAGGAUGUGAGGGGUCUAUGGAACUCAUGGUGUAGGGGUGAAAUCCGUUGAUAUCAUGGGGAACACCAAAAGCGAAGGCAAUAGACUGGCGCAUUCCUGACACUGAAACACGAAAGCGUGGGUAGCGAAUGGG